rnacentral:misc_RNA from 1 species
AAGUCGUAACAAGGUAACCGUAGGUGAACCUGCGGUUGGAUCAUUACUAAAUGAUUUUCACUAGGCUUUGAACUCUUUUCAGAGAUCGAGUCUAGUGUCUUUACACCCGGUGAACUAAAUCGUUUUUCGAGUGUGCAGUAAUGCAUGCUCGGCCGUAACAAACCCCUUUUAACCUAGUCUGAAUUUUUUAUUAUAUAAAAGAUAAACAACUUUUGACAACGGAUCUCUUGGCUCUC